UAUUCCCUUUCUAAAGAAUAUAACAAACUAAAACAUUGCUAUAUCAAAAAUAGUGCGGUGGCUCUUAAAAAUAAUUGAAGUUAAUAUUUCAUUAAUUUUAAUU